GGCGUUGUAGUGUAGCGGUCAUCACUCGAGAUUUUGAUAUACAAACGCGGUACGACUUAUACCUUCUCGAAACCCAGGUUCGAUUCCUGACAAUGCCU